rnacentral:rRNA from 1 species
GAUGAACGCUAGCGGCAGGCUUAAUACAUGCAAGUCGUGGGGCAGCAUGAAUGUAGCAAUACAUUUGAUGGCGACCGGCAAACGGGUGCGGAACACGUACACAACCUUCCUAUAAGUGGGGAAUAGCCCAGAGAAAUUUGGAUUAAUACCCCGUAAUAUAACGAUGUGGCAUCACAUUGUUAUUAUAGCUUCGGCGCUUAUUGAUGGGUGUGCGGCUGAUUAGAUAGUUGGCGGGGUAACGGCCCACCAAGUCUACGAUCAGUAGCUGAUGUGAGAGCAUGAUCAGCCACACGGGCACUGAGACACGGGCCCGACUCCUACGGGAGGCAGCAGUAAGGAAUAUUGGUCAAUGGACGCAAGUCUGAACCAGCCAUGCCGCGUGAAGGAUUAAGGUCCUCUGGAUUGUAAACUUCUUUUAUCUGGGACGAAAAAAGGCUUUUCUAAGUCACUUGACGGUACCAGAUGAAUAAGCACCGGCUAACUCCGUGCCAGCAGCCGCCGUAACAC